rnacentral:rRNA from 1 species
UACAGGGGGUGCAAACGUUGCUCGGAAUCAUUGGGCGUAAAGCGCACGUAGGCGGUCUGUUAUGUCGGAUGUGAAAGCCCUCGGCUCAACUGAGGAAGUGCAUCCGAAACUGGCAGGCUAGAGUACUAAAGAGGGUCGCGGAAUUCCCGGUGUAGAGGUGAAAUUCGUAGAUAUCGGGAGGAACACCGGUGGCGAAGGCGGCGUCCUGGACCAACACUGACACUGAGGAGCGAAAGCCAGGGGAGCAAACGGG